rnacentral:rRNA from 1 species
AUUGAACGCUGGCGGCAGGCCUAACACAUGCAAGUCGAACGAGUGGCGGACGGGUGAGUAAUGUCUGGGAAACUGCCCGAUGGAGGGGGAUAACUACUGGAAACGGUAGCUAAUACCGCAUACCAUCGGAUGUGCCCAGAUGGGAUUAUCUAGUAGGUGGGGUAACGGGUCACCUAGGCGACGAUCCCUAGCUGGGCUGAGAGGAUGACCGGCCACACUGGAACUGCGCCACGGUCGAGACUCGUACGGGAGGCAGAAGUGGGGAAUAUUGCACAAUGGGCGAAAGCCUGAUGCAGCAAUGCCGCGUGUAUGAAGAAGGCCUUCGGGUUGUAAAGUACUUUCAGCGAGGAGGCGGGAAUAGAAGAAGAAGCACCGGCUAACUCCGUGCCAGCAGCCGCGGUAAUUG